UGAUGAACGCUAGCUACAGGCUUAACACAUGCAAGUCGAGGGGCAGCGGGAUUGAAGCUUGCUUCAAUUGCCGGCGACCGGCGCACGGGUGAGUAACGCGUAUCCAAUCUUCCGUACACUCAGGGAUAGCCUUUCGAAAGAAAGAUUAAUACCUGAUAGUAUCUUAAGCACACAUGUAAUUAAGAUUAAAGAUUUAUUGGUGUACGAUGGGGAUGCGUUCCAUUAGGUAGUAGGCGGGGUAACGGCCCACCUAGCCAACGAUGGAUAGGGGUUCUGAGAGGAAGGUCCCCCACAUUGGAACUGAGACACGGUCCAAACUCCUACGGGAGGCAGCAGUGAGGAAUAUUGGUCAAUGGACGAGAGUCUGAACCAGCCAAGUAGCGUGAAGGAUGAAGGUCCUACGGAUUGUAAACUUCUUUUAUAAGGGAAUAAACCCUCCCACGUGUGGGAGCUUGUAUGUACCUUAUGAAUAAGCAUCGGCUAACUCCGUGCCAGCAGCCGCGGUAAUACGGAGGAUGCGAGCGUUAUCCGGAUUUAUUGGGUUUAAAGGGAGCGCAGACGGGUCGUUAAGUCAGCUGUGAAAGUUUGGGGCUCAACCUUAAAAUUGCAGUUGAUACUGGCGUCCUUGAGUGCGGUUGA
rnacentral:rRNA from 1 species